AACGAACGCUGGCGGCAGGCCUAACACAUGCAAGUCGAGCGCCCUUUCGUGGUAUCGGCUGUCUGGUGGGUAACGCGUGGGAAUAUGCUCUUCUCUACGGAAUAGCCUCGGGACACUGAGAGUAAUACCGUAUACGCCCUCGGGGGUCACGAUUUAUCGGGGAACGAUUAGCCCGCGUUAGAUUUGGUCGUUGGUGGGGGCAUGGCCUAACACGCCGACGAUCCAUAGCUGGUGUGAGAGGAGGAUCAGCCAGAAUGGGAAUGAGACACCGCACAGACUCCUAAGGGAGGAAGCAAGGGGGAAUGUUAGAGAACGGGGGCAAGACUGAUCGAGCCAGGGCGCGUGAGUGAUGAAGGCGUUAGGGAUGUAAAGCUCUUUCAGCUGGGAAGCUAAUGACGGUACCAGAAGAAGAAGACCCGGCUAACUCCGUG
rnacentral:rRNA from 1 species